AGUGAACGCUGGCGGCGUGCCUAACACAUGCAAGUCGAACGCGAAAGUCCCGCAAGGGAUGAGUAGAGUGGCAGACGGGUGAGUAAUAUAUAGGUAACCUACCCUUGAGUGGGGGACAACAUGCCGAAAGGUGUGCUAAUCCCGCAUAACAUUCGGUGGCUCAAGUCAUCGAAUCAAAGAGGGGGAUCCUUCGGGACCUCUCGCUUGAGGAUGGGCCUGUAUCCUAUUAGCUAGUUGGUGGGGUAAUGGCCUACCAAGGCAAUGAUGGGUAGCCGAGCUGAGAGGCUGAUCGGCCACACUGGAACUGAAACACGGUCCAGACUCCUACGGGAGGCAGCAGUGGGGAAUAUUGGGCAAUGGGCGAAAGCCUGACCCAGCGACGCCGCGUGGGUGAUGAAGG
rnacentral:rRNA from 1 species